rnacentral:lncRNA from 10 species
GGACAGAGGGAAGGUAGGAAAGGAGGGAAGAUAGGAAAGGAGGGAAAGAAGGAAGCAAAAGGCAUGGGAAUUGUGGUACAGGAUGUACAGUGUAGAACAGGCGAAAGGAAACUACCGUAUUGGUAAUCCUCCGGAGCAGUUUACAGGUAAAGCAGCCUGGCGGGCUGUUGGCAGUGCCCAGUGCCGGUAGCAGUGGGAGGCUUUCGGGAAGGCCCAGAGCUCCCACAGGCCAGGGUGGUCAGAAGGCUGGGGCCGAGGAGGGCCUGCUGGUGUUGCUGUGACAAGGCACGGGCCCGGAGUCCUGUCCUUCAUCCUGGCAUCCUCUCAAGACAAAGCCCACCAGUGUUGACCCACCUGGACGUGGGGGAUAGAGCACCUAAGGGCCUCUAAACACCCUGUCACCCCUAGAGACUCCUCCCCAGCCCUGCCUCCUUCUUGUCACGUCCCCAGCCUUCCACGUGGCCACGUGCACCUGGCACCUGGGACCAGUGGUCAUUAUCUUUCCCUGGAGCGUGGGGAGAAGCUCAGGUCAGGUGUAGGGCUGGAGAGGAGGCCUGUUUUGCGGCCUCUGCAGUGUGUGCCCCUGCAUGCGUAUGCGCGUGUGUGAGGAUGGGGCACCUGCAAGCCCAGGACUGCCACCUGCAGCCACCCAUCUUACCUGGUGUCUUUGCAAGGGGGAAGGGCUUGCCCGAGUCAAGGUGGAGCAGUGAGGCCCCUGCCUAUUUUCACUGUUUCUGGACUCUUUUGCGGUAGCCUAUGA